UACGAAGGGGGCUAGCGUUGCUCGGAAUCACUGGGCGUAAAGCGCACGUAGGCGGCGAUUCAAGUCAGAGGUGAAAGCCCGGGGCUCAACCCCGGAACUGCCUUUGAAACUAGAUCGCUAGAAUCUUGGAGAGGUCAGUGGAAUUCCGAGUGUAGAGGUGAAAUUCGUAGAUAUUCGGAAGAACACCAGUGGCGAAGGCGACUGACUGGACAAGUAUUGACGCUGAGGUGCGAAAGCGUGGGGAGCAAACAGG
rnacentral:rRNA from 1 species